CGCGCUACGAAGCGCUUUUCUUCUCUUUGGUACGACAGAUGUUUACAUUUAAACAGAUAGGCAAAUGCAGGCGGCAUGAUUUCCACAUGUCCAAGUCCAACUCAUGACUGAAUACCUGGUCCAGGUGUGUCCAGCCAAUGAGAACAUGCCAGAGCAGGAAUGUCUGCGCUCCAGUUCUUGGCCAGUGGACCUCACCUCUGGCUCGACUCGCGCCCACACUUGUCCCCAGUUCCAUCUCGAUGAAGGAAUGUCUGCACUCCGGUUCUUGGCCGUGGACCUCGGCUCUGGCUCAGCUCACAUCCCCACCUGUCCCCCAGUUCCAUCUGGAUGAAGCCCACCUGCUACACUCUUUUAUUGAAUAUCUGUUUAAACCCAUAAAAGGUCCAAAGAAAAUCAUGUUUUUUAAGAUGUUCUUGUAAAAUUUCUCUCAUAAUAGAGAACAUAGAUAAAAUAAUUAAAGAUUAAAGCUGACAGUACUUCUAAAUAUUUAGAUGAAAAUGCAUCAUUUUAAAAAGCUUUCAGUUGUGACCAUAGACAUAUGUUAUUUCACUGGACAAAGCGAGAUGUUGAUGGCAUCCAUAGAAAAAGCCCUACCUCCGGCCCUUGCAAAAUCAGCCCAAAGCCGCCAUUUUGAAACCAGUCGACGGGGGUUGGUCCGAGUCGGUCUGAGUGACGUUUUUAAAGGAACUACUGUCGCCAAUCAUGAGAGAGUUUGUUGAAAGUCCACACCUCUUCCACUG